rnacentral:ncRNA from 1 species
UAUAAAGCGAUGAUGAAGAAUAGUAGAAGUCAUUUUUUAUAAGAGAAAAAGUCCGUAGGCUGAAAGACUUUUAAGCAGAGCUUCGAACCAGCUUUUGAGCAUAGAUAAAAACUAUCGGUUUAAUACCGUUAUCAUUAUUAGAGAACAAAUUUAGGUGGUACCGCGAUGAUAAGUUCGCCCUAAUA